UAUUAAAUGACCCCAAAAAAAGCUGCCCGAGAGGCCUAGAAGGAAAGGAAUACACUUUUCCCUUCUCCCUUCCAGAACUGUCCAAAGUUUCUCUAGCAAGGAGAGGCCGCCUCCUUCUGUUCCCUCAGUGACCCUGAGAUUCCCUUAAAGAGGAGCAAAGAUUCCCGGCCCUCCCUGAGCCUCGAUGGGCCACUGACAGCAGAGAAAGAAAGCAUUUACUCCCAGCGCUGGAAUAAAAUACCAGGGGUAAGAUAAAUAUACUAUCCUAAGUAUGGGAUCAUAGAUCAAAGAGCAGGAAAGGACUUGUAGUCCGAUCCAUUCGUUUUACCGUGGAGGACAUUGAGGCCCAGAGAAAUGACCUGCCCAAGGGUCACUCAAAGACAUAAGUGGCACCGCUUGGAUUCUAAUUCGGGUCCUGUGACUCCUAGUUCCUCAAUCUUUCAACUGCAUCAAGCUUGGAAAAUGACAUGUCAUCGCUGGAAAAAAAAUUUACUUAAAAAGGAAAAUGAAACAAAUUUUACUUCCUAUUACAGUCGUUUUGAAAACCGAAGGCAAAAAGUGUUUGAGACAAAAAAAAAUACAUUUUACCUGAAAAAGGGUAAAUAGGCUCUUUGUGACCGUAGAAGGAGAAAAAAUAGGCCCACAUUAAAAAAGAAAAUUUUUUAAAUUCAACAAACUGCUAUGUUUCAGGCACUGGAGAAACAAAAAGCACAUUCUCUGUUCUAUGGGAACUUAAUAGUUUUGUUAAUGGGAUCAGACAUAAAUAUAAUAUUUCAAAUGCAUAGAAGAGAUCUAAUCAAGUGGCUCAGGAGUUUCAAAGGAGACUGACAGUCACCUUUAGUUGAGGGCAUGGGGAAAAAUCAACAAGCUUUAUUUAUUAAAUACUUCCUAUGUGUGGGGCACUGUGCUAGGCUUUGGGUUUACAAAUGCAAAAUGAGAAAGUCUCUGCCCUUAAUGUGCUCACAUUCUGCUGUAAAGAUGCAAUAUAUUGACAAAUACAUAAGUAGAGAGGAUACUGGGCACUGGCCACUCUGCAGAGUACCACUGAUGCAAUUCAGCAAGUGGAAGACGCUGGGGAUAUAGUGAUGAAUGGUAAUAGAAGUGCCUUGACAAGACUCAGGAACGUUCAUAGACAUUUGUGACAGGUUCCUGUUUGCUAACCAUGGAGGAGCCUUUUGGAUUGGCUGGGAAUGCAUUCAAAAGGCACUAAGCAAGCAGUUUCUCUUGGUUUGACUGUACUCCUAGGGAUUUCCUCUUGGUGGAUGGCUUCAGACGGCUAGAUGUUGGGAUCACACUGCCCAGGAAUUCCUCCUGCCUCUCUCCAUAAGGUUCAGGAACUCUCAACAUUCUUCCAAAAACCUGGGGUUAGGGAACUCCCACCAUAACGACCAUGUAUUUCCCUGCUCCAUGACUGGCACAUGGUUUCAGAUUACAUGGUCAACUUCUUUUGAACAGUCACGGGUCUCACUGAAGAGGCACUUUAUUGCUCCAUGCAACAGGAUGACAUUACAACAGAAGCACCAGAAGAACUUCACCCUCAGGUAAAACAACUUUUGAAAAGACACCAUGUAGAAUAUUCUGUAUCAUGAUGGAUCUAUCAGUCUUGACCUUUUUUUUGUCUCAACUAUCCAGGCCUUUGGACUUUUUUCCUUUCUUUGUUAUUUCAUGUCCAUUAACACUUCCUCUCUCUCCACCUUCUCCCACCUCUGCUCCCAUAAGUUAGGUAGGGAAGUAGUCUUAAAACAAGUACCUUGCACUAGGCACACAAAUACCUCAAUAAACAUCAAAUUAACCUGCAGUUAAUUUUUCUGGUUUUGGGCACCUUAAAAGAUCUGAUGGGGGAAGAGUUCCAAAUUAUUGGCUUUAAAGGAGGCUAAGGGACCUAUGAUUAUGAUAAAUCAUACUGUCAUCAAUUGCUAAAGACUGAAUUUGGUAAUAUUCCUGGCAGUAUGAGAUUUCCUGGCAUUACUCAAUAUAAUUUCAUAUCGCUAGAAAGCACUUUCCUACCCUGCUUUAUGUGUUGUAGAAAGGCCAUAUACAUUGAGGGAAGGUAAUAAUAGUUUAAAGAAAACAACCCCGUUGAAUGGUCCUACUCUUAACUUUUGCCUUGACUUGCUUUAUGACCGUGAGGUAAAAUGAGGCUAAGAAAUUAAUUUCCCUUGUUGGGCAAGUCAGAAGAACUAGAGAUUCCUCAGAAAGAAGGCCUAACCUAAAAAUAUUAACAAGUUUCCUCCUUGAGGCUGUUGAUGGAAGUCUUGGCUUAAAGAACAUUCACAUAUCCUUAAUUCAGACUAUUCCAUCUAACAACUGAAGAUACACCAUUAAGGCCCUGGUGAAAGGAAUAGCUGAAAUUCAAAAUUCUCAUACUAAAAGGCAGAAUUCAACAACCUGGCUCAUUGUAAGGAACUAAGGAUGUGUGUGUUUGUGUUUUAAAUCACAGGAACAAUGUCACAGGGACUGGCCAAGUAGCUUUAUAACAGAACUUUGUGAGGUUCUAGUUAGGUUUGGAUAUAAUUUAUCAGUAACUUUUCCUGAAGCAACAUUAUGCUAAUGUGUCAGUUUUUUAAACUUCUGACAUCUCAAAGUUUGAGUUCCUUAUGCAAUGAACUCAACUCACCUACUCUAUAGGUAAACUUAGCUCUGUAGAUGAAAUCUACUCAAUUUUCCUCAGUAAAAUCUCUUGAAAGAUUAAACAUGUUGAGAACUUCCCUAAUUCUUUUAGGCCACUUUGAUACCAUUUAAACAGCACCACAAACUAUUAAAUAGUUUUGUUCAAGUACAUGUUUGGCUAGAUGGUGGCUUAAGUUCCUUCUGAACUUGAAUAACAGGCAAGCAUGGUGACAAGAUUUGGAUCUAAAAGACUUGAGUUUGCCACUUCCUCCUUACUUGUCCAGCCUUGGGAAAGUAGUUUAUAGCCACUCUGAGCCUUUAAUUUCUUCAUUUGUAAAAUGGGAUAUAGGGGC